rnacentral:rRNA from 1 species
CCCCUAGAUGUUCUGGGCCGCACGCGCGCUACACUGAACAGUUCAACAAGUCUUAACCUUGGCCGAUAGGUCUGGGUAAUCUUUGAACGCUGUUCGUGAUUGGGAUAGACCUUUGCAAUUAUGGGUCUUCAACGAGGAAUUCCUAGUAAACGCAAGUCAUCAGCUUGCAUUGAUUACGUCCCUGCCCUUUGUACACACCGCCCGUCGCACCUACCGAUUGAGUGAUCCGGUGAAUUAUUCGGACUGCAACGUCUUCAGUUUCUGGAUGCAGUUGCGGUAAGUUUUGUGAACCUUACCACUUAGAGGAAGGAGAAGUCGUAACA